AUGCGGGGUUCCUUAGGGUCCCCUCCGACGGGCACUCUGCACGUGUGUGAAGGGCCCUGCCCCAGGGAUCCUGCCCAGGAGUCGGUCCCAGGGAGACCUGGCCUGGGGCACCGAACCGUCAGAAUGCCUCAUGGCACUCCCAGUGGACAUCGCAGCCCACUUCGGUACAGUCCAGCCUCAGCUCCCGUCCUACUGACCCGUUUGACGUGUGCUCCCUGGGAACGGGGCUUUGUGUUGAAGGUGGACUCAGGCCCACAGCCCCUGUGUAGGUGGGAGCACAGCGGUCCAGGCCUGCCUGGCUGUCAGGCAUGGGCCGUUGCGCCGGGACCAGGACCCUUGCCUGCAGAGCAUGCGGCCCCUGGCCGCUCACCCGCGGGGCAGGGUGGGAGGCCGGUCCUGCGGGCCAGAGCAACACAUCUGCCCAUAGCAGGCACCCUGGGCGCUGCGUGCAUUCCGGCCGCGGCCGCUCUGUCAGGUAUGAGCCCAGACCAGGCCGUGUGACGAGCACGUGCCUGACGUGGCCCGGGCAUGGGUGGUCCUGGCACGCGGCCGGCAGAGUGAGGGCCCUUUCUGCUCCGGGAACAGAACUGCGCUUCCUCAUCGCCUGUUUGCACCAUCUUCAUCACACACGAUGCCGUCUGUAUCAGACGUGAGAAUCUGACAGUCCAGUCCAGGCAUAUUCAAAGGCAGUAUCCUCCCUGGCUCCUUGGUGUCCCCUUGGAAGAUCCAACGUGGCUGGCCGGAAGGUCAGCGUCCUUUACAGGAGUGUGUGCGCGAGCGAUCCCCCGCGGGUCAGCACCGCGUGCUGUGUGCUUCAUGGGGAGACACGGGGUCACCUGGGCCCGCUGGUCCCGGAGGAGACAGGUCACCCAGUGGCAUGGGCGAGCACACUGGGUUUGUGCCUCCAGAGUUCCAAGGGGUCGCGGUGGCUGGGCGCAGGCUUGGCCCACCUCCACAUCUGACUGCGACCUUGCUUCCUGACACGCGGGAGCCUCUGCAGGGGGCCACACAGACAGAACCCAGGGCCUGAGAGGGGGCCCAUACCCACUCUCGCAGACGCCAGGGUGUACCGUUUUGUCCUUCCUGGGAGGGUGCGCACGUAGAGGGAACCGUGCUUUGCAGAUGGUAACGUAAUGCCUCUCUCUGGACAAAUGAAACCGUUUUGGCAAGAAGUCCCUGAAGCCGUAAACAUUAUUUGCUCUUUAACAUCGGAAAGCUCACUUCUUGGAUCCCACCCAGAGGCAAAGGCAGGAAGGAUCGCCUGGAAGAGGCAUCCAGCAACAACCCUGCUCAGGGCCCCCCUGUAGCCUGCCUCCCUCAUGCUCUGUUGCCUGCGCCUGCAGGGCAAUUCCCGCAUGGCAAUGCCCGCAUGGUGAUGCCCGCAUGGCGAUGCCCGCAUGGCAAUGCCCACAGGGCGAUGCCCACAUGGCAAUGCCCACAUGGCGAUGCCCGCAGGACGAUUCCCUCAGGGUUCCCAUGGCCGGGCGGCCCCAGCAGGGCCUCCAGAGGAGACCCCCGAUGGAAGGGACAGCCAGCCAUGGUCCACAUGCUUGUGAGGUGGCAUCUAGCGUGUCCGGAGGACAGUCAAAAACCACUUAUCACCCUGAGAACUGGGCCGACGCGAGAUUCAGGCCCCUGUCAUUGGCACCAGGCACUGCGGGCCCGUCCUCAGGGUGACUGGCGCUUUGGUCAGGGCUGAGGCCUCCGGGCUGUGCGGCGGGGCGGCACCAUCACUCCGGCCCUCCUGAUGGCCGCAGACAGCGCGUGCCAGCGUGGGAGAACAGUGGCAGGUGGCGGGUGCGCUGAGCUGGGGCUUUGCGGCCGUGGUGGCAUCUCAUGGGCACAGUCGGCAGAGAACCAUGGGGACCCGACCCGACCUUGAUUCCUUCUGACCUCAGAGCUGUGAGCAAACUGUCCUCCAGCUUUCAUCCUGUGAAUGUGGUCACCGU
ensembl:lincRNA